rnacentral:SRP_RNA from 1 species
GCUGGGCGUGGUGGUGCAUGCCCGCAGUCCCAGCUACUUGGGAAGCUGAGGCAGAAGAAUUGCUUGAACCCAGGAGGCGGAGGUUGCAGUGAGCUGAGAUCGUGCCACUGCACUCCAGCCUGGGUGACACAGCGAGACUCUGUCUCAA